CUUCUUGUUUGGAUGUUAUGUUUAUUUAUAUGGAUUUUAUUUUGGUGAAUAAUCUUUUAUUGAUUUUCAACAAAUAAAAGUAAAAGAAACAGAAUGAGACUUGCAGGUCCCCAGUGUGAUGAGCAUUUCGGUCACGCUGGAGCCAAUAAGAGAUUCGGUACAGCGUUAAAUAGGACGCACAGGUCCAUUAGUGGAUCAUCACAAACAUAAGUCUAGCAAUUACAUUGACAAACUUUGUGCCCGUUUCACCUCCGCAUAAUGGACGGUUCUUCUCCCCACUCCAUCUCUAAGUCCCUUCCUGUACCAGUAUCUUCUUAAGACUGGGUCACAUAUUAAAUGUCUUUAAAAGGUGAGAUUAUUCACAGUGUGUAGAAGAUUGAGACACCUACCAACUCAUGCUGGGUAGAGCAGAAUUUGAUUACCAUAUGGAUUCUAUGGUAGCGUCUAUGCGUAUCACAGAAUUCACAGUAAAAAUUUUUUUUUGUUAUUUCGCUUUUGAAAGUGUUCUGGGAAUGCAAUGAUUUGGAGAGUACUCCUGCUCAUAGUUUUGGAAUUCCAUUGAUUGCAUUUGGGCCCCCCAAAU